UUUUUUAAAUAUAAUUUUAAACUUCAAUGUUCACUUUGCUUAAAACAUACUCUAUAAUCAUUUCCUUAACUUGGGCAAUUCCCAAAUUAAUUUUGAACAAUAUAAUCAAAUAUAUGGAAAGAUUAUGCUUCCAAAUUCUGGCAUGCAUGAUGUUGAUUUACUUUAUUAGAAAUUAGAAAUGUUUCUCAUAUAUACCAUGUAUGUAUAUUCAUGUGUGUUUGUGUGUAUGUAUAAAUAAUUUAGAGGUCCAUUUUGGAUACAUUAAGCUUAUCUGAUUCUAUAGAUACAGAUAUAUUUGGUUUUUAAAUGUGUUUUUUUUUUCCACUUUGGUAGAAUUUUUGCUGAUUUGUCUAUGACUUGUGACAUUCAUUCAUUCAUUAAUACAAUAAUUCUCUGAACCAAGUAUUUAUUGAGUGAUUUUCAAAGUUUUACUCAAUGUCAAAAAUGACAACUGUUAUGGAGAAUUUGUCUAUUGGAUGCCUGUGACUCUUGACAGUUCACAUGCAUCAUAGUUUAAGUCACUGGUUUUCAAAAUGUUUCUACUUAAUUAAUCCUUCAGUUUCUUGUUCAAAAGAUUUAUUCCUUGGCUCUAUUAGAAGAGAUUCUAGUUUACUAGUUCUGAAAUUCAGCCCUGGCAUUUUAAAUAUGUGUUGUCAGAGGUCAGUGACAGGGUUAUUGUGAAAACCACCUCUUGAAAACCACUGAGCUCACUAAUUGCUAUGAUUUGACUGCAUGCCUCUUAAAUCAAUUGCAACACAAUCCCCAAUGCGGUGGCAUUGAGAAGUGUCAACUUUUGGAAAAGUGAUUAUGUUAUGACGGAUUUGCAGCUAUGGGAAGGUUAAUGCCUUACAAAAAUGCUCUAAACAAUGAUCUUGGACAUUAAUUGUUCUUCUGCUUUUCUAGCUUAUAAAGACAGUGUUCAAGGGCCAUCCUGGAAGCAAAGAAUGGGGCCUUCAGCAGACACUAAACCUGCUUGCACCUUGAUUUUGAGGUGCCAAGCUUUCAGAAGUGUGAGGAAAUAAAUUUCUUUUGAAAAUAAAUUACACAGUCUCAGGUGGUUUGUUACAGCAGCAAUAAUCUGGUAAGAUUACACUAUACUUCCCCCCCAAAAGCUAUUGAAAGAAAUGGGAAUGAAAAUUGAGAAUACAAUGAUGUUAUGAUGGAAGAGUUCAGGCAUUAGACAUUCUAUGUAGCGUUUCCAGUACUGCAUUACUUUUCUCUUUAAAAUAUUUUUUCACUGAAGUGCAUGUUUGUGUCCUCAAAUAAAAAGUUUUUCUUUCCAUGUGGUUCAAUUU
rnacentral:lncRNA from 1 species